rnacentral:rRNA from 1 species
CACGCUGUAAACGAUGUCGACUUGGAGGUUGUUCCCUUGAGGAGUGGCUUCCGGAGCUAACGCGUUAAGUCGACCGCCUGGGGAGUACGGCCGCAAGGUUAAAACUCAAAUGAAUUGACGGGGGCCCGCACAAGCGGUGGAGCAUGUGGUUUAAUUCGAUGCAACGCGAAGAACCUUACCUACUCUUGACAUCCAGAGAACUUAGCAGAGAUGCUUUGGUGCCUUCGGGAACUCUGAGACAGGUGCUGCAUGGCUGUCGUCAGCUCGUGUUGUGAAAUGUUGGGUUAAGUCCCGCAACGAGCGCAACCCUUAUCCUUUGUUGCCAGCGGUUCGGCCGGGAACUCAAAGGAGACUGCCAGUGAUAAACUGGAGGAAGGUGGGGAUGACGUCAAGUCAUCAUGGCCCUUACGAGUAGGGCUACACACGUGCUACAAUGGCAUAUACAAAGAGAAGCGACCUCGCGAGAGCAAGCGGACCUCAUAAAGUAUGUCGUAGUCCGGAUCGGAGUCUGCAACUCGACUCCGUGAAGUCGGAAUCGCUAGUAAUCGUGGAUCAGAAUGCCACGGUGAAUACGUUCCCGGGCCUUGUACACACCGCCCGUCACACCAUGGGAGUGGGUUGCAAAAGAAGUAGGUAGC